rnacentral:rRNA from 1 species
UAAUACGGAGGAUCCAAGCGUUGUCCGGAUUUAUUGGGUUUAAAGGGUGCGUAGGCGGAUCUUUAAGUCAGUGGUGAAAGCCUGCAGCUUAACUGUAGAAUUGCCAUUGAAACUGAAGAUCUUGAAUAUGGUUAAAGUAGGCGGAAUGUAUCAUGUAGCGGUGAAAUGCUUAGAUAUGAUACAGAACACCGAUAGCGAAGGCAGCUUGCUGAGCCAUUAUUGACGCUGAGGCACGAAAGCGUGGGGAGCGAACAGGAUUAGAUACCCUGGUAGUCCACGCCCUAAACGUUGAUUACUCGUUGUUGGCGAUAUAUUGUCAGCGACCAAGCUAAAGCGUUAAGUAAUCCACCUGGGAAGUACGACCGCAAGGUUGAAACUUAAAGGAAUUGACGG